UUUGGGGAAAGAAUUGUCAUUUUUAUAAGGGAUUUCACACUUUUUCAUUUUAGUACCAAGUGGUUUAAAGUGUACCAAGUUAGUACCCUGUGGUUUUGCACUUUCUCACUUUAGUACCUUGUGGUUUAAAGUGUAUCAAGUUAGUACUCUGUGGUUUUAUUUCUGUAUCAAGUUAGUACCAUGUGGUUUUAUUUUUGUACCAAGCUAGUAUCCUGUGGUUUUAUUUUUCUCUUAAUGAAAUAUUAAACCACUUAGUACUAAAGUGAGAAAGUGCAAAUAAUUUGAUACACUUUAAAUCACAAGGUAUUAAAGUGAGAAAGUGCGAAACCACAGAAUACUAACUUAAUACACUUUAAACCACAGGGUACUAAAGUGAGAAAGAGUGAGACCAUAAGGGGGGUAUUUGAAGUUUUUCCUUUUUAUAAAUUAGUAAUUAGUCUUAUAAAAUAUUUCUAUUUAAUGUAUUAUAUAAUAACUUAUUUACUAAUUUACUACUUAAUUAAUCGGUUAACUUAUUAAAUUAAUAAAUAUUUAAUUAACUAGUUGAGCAAUUAUUUUCAAUGCAUAAUCAACUAGCUAAAUUAAAUAAUUAAUGUUUUUAGUAAUCUAUGAUUAGAUAAUUAAAUACUUAAUAAAGUAAAAUAUUAAAUUAUUUUUAUAGUUAAUUAA
rnacentral:lncRNA from 1 species